AGUUUUGAUCAUGGCUCAGGACGAACGCUGGCGGGCAUGCCUAAUACAUGCAAGUCGAACGAGCUUCCGUUGAAUGACGUGCUUGCACUGAUUUCAACAAUGAAGCGAGUGGCGAACUGGUGAGUAACACGUGGGAAAUCUGCCCAGAAGCAGGGGAUAACACUUGGAAACAGGUGCUAAUACCGUAUAACAACAAAAUCCGCAUGGAUUUUGUUUGAAAGGUGGCUUCGGCUAUCACUUCUGGAUGAUCCCGCGGCGUAUUAGUUAGUUGGUGAGGUAAAGGCCCACCAAGACGAUGAUACGUAGCCGACCUGAGAGGGUAAUCGGCCACAUUGGGACUGAGACACGGCCCAAACUCCUACGGGAGGCAGCAGUAGGGAAUCUUCCACAAUGGACGAAAGUCUGAUGGAGCAAUGCCGCGUGAGUGAAGAAGGGUUUCGGCUCGUAAAACUCUGUUGUUAAAGAAGAACACCUUUGAGAGUAACUGUUCAAGGGUUGACGGUAUUUAACCAGAAAGCCACGGCUAACUACGUGCCAGCAGCCGCGGUAAUACGUAGGUGGCAAGCGUUGUCCGGAUUUAUUGGGCGUAAAGCGAGCGCAGGCGGUUUUUUAAGUCUGAUGUGAAAGCCUUCGGCUUAACCGGAGAAGUGCAUCGGAAACUGGGAGACUUGAGUGCAGAAGAGGACAGUGGAACUCCAUGUGUAGCGGUG
rnacentral:rRNA from 1 species